GUCGGGGUAGCUCAGCCGGUUAGAGCGCUAGACUCAUAAUCUAGAGGUCGAGGGUUCGAACCCCUCCCCCGACA
rnacentral:tRNA from 2 species